AGAGUUUGAUCAUGGCUCAGGAUAAACGCUGGCGGCGUGCCUAAAACAUGCAAGUCGAACGGGCACCUUCGGGUGUCAGUGGCGGACGGCUGAGUAACACGUGGGUGACCUGCCCCGGAGCGGGGGAUAACUGCCCGAAAGGGUGGCUAAUACCGCAGACAUCGUGGAUUCGGUUCUACGAUUGAACCUUUUUGGGUUCUGGGAGGGGCCCGCGGCCGAUUAGCUAGCUGGUGGGGUAACGGCCUACCAGGGCGACGAUCGGUAGCUGGUCUGAGAGGAUGAUCAGCCAGACUGGGACUGCGAACGGCCCAGACUCCUACGGGAGGCAGCAGUUAGGAAUUUUGGGCAAUGGGCGAAAGCCUGACCCAGCAACGCCGCGUGGGUGAUGAAGGCCCUCGGGUCGUAAAGCCCUUUUCCCAGGGACGAUAGUGACGGUACCUGGGGAAUCAGCCCCGGCUAACUACGUGCCAGCAGCCGCGGUAAUACGUAGGGGGCAAGCGUUGUCCGGAUUUAUUGGGCGUAAAGCGCUCGCAGGUGGUUCGUUGCGUCGUGCGUGAAAGACCCCGGCUCAACUGGGGAGUGUCGUGCGAUACGGGCGAACUGGAGGCCAGUAGGGGGAUGCGGAAUUCCGGGUGUAGUGGUGGAAUGCGUAGAGAUCCGGAGGAACACCGCGGCGAAGGCGGCAUCCUGGACUGGUCCUGACACUCAGGAGCGAAAGCGUGGGGAGCGAUCCGGAUUAGAUACCCUAGUAGUCC
rnacentral:rRNA from 1 species